GGAAUAUUGGUCAAUGGGCGCAAGCCUGAACCAGCCAUGCCGCGUGAGUGAAGAAGGCCCUAGGGUUGUAAAGCUCUUUCAGCGGGGACGAUAAUGACGGUACCCGCAGAAGAAGUCCCGGCUAACUUCGUUCCAGCAGCCGCGGUAAUACGAAGGGGACUAGCGUUGUUCGGAAUUACUGGGCGGAAAGCGCGCGUAGGCGGGUUCUCAAGUCAGGGGUGAAAUCCCAGGGCUCAACCCUGGAACUGCCUUUGAUACUGGGAGCCUGGAGUUCGGGAGAGGUGAGUGGAAUUCCGAGUGUAGAGGUGAAAUUCGUAGAUAUUCGGAGGAACACCAGAAGCGAAGGCGGCUCACUGGCCCGAUACUGACGCUGAGGCGCGAAAGCGUGGGGAGCAAAC
rnacentral:rRNA from 1 species